rnacentral:rRNA from 1 species
AGUGAACGCUGGCGGUAGGCCUAACACAUGCAAGUCGAACGGCAGCACAGUAAGAGCUUGCUCUUACGGGUGGCGGGUGGCGGACGGGUGAGGAAUACAUCGGAAUCUACUUUUUCGUGGGGGAUAACGUAGGGAAACUUACGCCAAUACCGCAUACGACCUACGGGUGAAAGCAGGGGAUCUUCGGACCUUGCGCGAUUGAAUGAGCCGAUGUCGGAUUAGCUAGUUGGCGGGGUAAAGGCCCACCAAGGCGACGAUCCGUAGCUGGUCUGAGAGGAUGAUCAGCCACACUGGAACUGAGACACGGUCCAGACUCCUACGGGAGGCAGCAGUGGCGAAUAUUGGACAAUGGGCGCAAGCCUGAUCCAGCCAUGCCGCGUGGGUGAAGAAGGCCUUCGGGUUGUAAAGCCCUUUUGUUGGGAAAGAAAAGCAGCAGGUUAAUACCCCGCUGUUCUGACGGUACCCAAAGAAUAAGCACCGGCUAACUUCGUG